rnacentral:rRNA from 1 species
GGAAUAUUGCACAAUGGGCGCAAGCCUGAUGCAGCGACGCCGCGUGUGGGAUGAAGGGGCUACGCCUCGUAAACCACUGUAGCCCGGGACGAAAAACGCCUUAGAGGCGUUAGACGGUACCGGGAAAGUAAGGGUCGGCUAACUACGUGCCAGCAGCCGCGGUAAUACGUAGGACCCAAGCGUUGUCCGGAUUUACUGGGUGUACAGGGUGCGCAGGCGGAUGGGUAAGUCAGGGGUGAAAGUCUGCAGCUUAACUGUAGA